ACACCGGCAGCUCAAGUGGUAGCCGCUUUUAUUGGGCCUAAAGCGUCCGUAGCCGGUCUGAUAAGUCUCUGGUGAAAUCCCACAGCUUAACUGUGGGAAUUGCUGGAGAUACUAUCAUGACUCGAGGUCGGGAGAGGCUGGAGGUACUCCCAGGGUAGGGGUGAAAUCCUGUAAUCCUGGGAGGACCACCUGUGGCGAAGGCGUCCAGCUGGAACGAACCUGACGGUGAGGGACGAAAGCCAGGGGCGCGAACCGGAUUAGAUACCCGGGUGGGCCUGGCCGUAAACGAUGUGGACUUGGUGUUGGGAUGGCCUCGAGCUGCCCCAGUGCCGAAGGGAAGCUGUUAAGUCCACCGCCUGGGAAGUACGGUCGCAAGACUGAAACUUAAAGGAAUUGGCGGGG
rnacentral:rRNA from 1 species